GAAACUCUUUGCAGAGAGGCAGGAGGGUGUGGCCAUUGCUUCCUAGAGUUCUUCUCUCUUACCCUGGAGUUUUGAGCAUCAUACCUACUUAGGGCUACAGGAGCUGGCAGGGUCUGGUGCUGAUUCCAUCCAGCAUCUCACAGGACCAAAGGCCAGAGCUGUCAUGGGCAUGUCACUCCUUUGCUGGGUAACUAUUUUUCUUCUCAUAGCAGUCCCCAUGGAUGCUGGAGUCACUGAGAACUUCAGAUACCUGAUAACAGCAACAGGAUGUGAGGUGACACUGAGAUGUGAUCAGGACCUGGAUUAUGAGUCUAUGUACUGGUAUCGACAGGACCCAGGAUUAGGACUACAGCUGAUCUCUUUUUCCCUUAAUGUUGGCUUCAUUGAAACAGAAGUCCCUUACGGAUACAAUGCAUCUCGGAAUGAAAAGUCAUUCUUCCUGCUAACUCUCAAGCCUACAAACACAAACCAGACAUCUGGCUACUUCUGUGCUAGCAGCAAAACCACAGUAGAACAGAGUCACUUCUUCCUUGCACAAAAAAGGCAAUCAGAAGAGGCAAGGUGAC